CUAGAUGUGGUGUGUCGUGGUCAUCCGGGUCGCAAGGACGGGUGAUAAUAGGGAAGCCGGUGCGGGCAAAUCGCUCCAGUCCGGCGCUGCCCCCGCAACUGUGAAAGUCGGAGCGAUCCGGCCAGCCAGAUACCUGCCACGACAGGUUAGAUCGU
rfam:Acetobacteraceae bacterium SCN 69-10 ABS99_C0024, whole genome shotgun sequence.